UUGGGAAUUGUCGGGGUCCCGCUCAAGCGGUGGAGCAUGUGGUUUAAUUCGGUGCAACGCGAAGAACCUUACCAAGUCUUGUCUUCGUUCUGCCCGGUCUGUAAUGGUCCUUUCCCUUCGGGGACAGAGGAGACAGGUGGUGCAUGGUUGUCGUCAGCUCGUGUCGUGAGUUGUUGGGUUAAGUCCCGCAACGAGCGCAACCCUUAUCCUUAGUAGCCAGCUUGUGGGCUGGGCACUCUGAGGAGACUGCCAGGGAUAGCCUGGAGGAAGGUGGGGAUGACGUCAAAUCAUCAUGCCCCUUAUGAUUUGGGCUACACACGUGCUACAAUGGCGUAAACAAAGGGAAGCGAGGGCGUGAGCCGGUGCGAAUCCCAAAAAUAACGUCCCAGUUCGGAUUGUAGUCUGCAACCCGACUACACGAAGCUGGAAUCGCUAGUAAUCGCGGGUCAGCAUGCUGCGGUGAAUACGUUCCCGGGUCUUGUACACACCGCCCGUCACACCAUGGGAGUCAGUAACGCCCGAAGUCAGUGACCGAACCGUCGUGAGGGUGCUGCCGAAGGCGGGACCGAUAACUGGGGUGAAGUCGUAACAAGGUAGC
rnacentral:rRNA from 1 species